rnacentral:rRNA from 1 species
UACGGAGGGGGCUAGCGUUGUUCGGAAUUACUGGGCGUAAAGCGCACGUAGGCGGCUUUGUAAGUUAGAGGUGAAAGCCCGGAGCUCAACUCCGGAAUUGCCUUUAAGACUGCAUCGCUUGAACGUCGGAGAGGUAUGUGGAAUUCCGAGUGUAGAGGUGAAAUUCGUAGAUAUUCGGAAGAACACCAGUGGCGAAGGCGACAUACUGGACGACUGUUGACGCUGAGGUGCGAAAGCGUGGGGAGCAAACAGG